rnacentral:rRNA from 1 species
GAGUUUGAUCAUGGCUCAGAACGAACGCUGGCGGCAUGCCUAACACAUGCAAGUCGAACGGGAUCCUGGCUUCGGCCAGGUGAGAGUGGCGGACGGGUGAGUAACGCGUGGGAACCUGCCCAGAGGUACGGAAUAACAGUUGGAAACGACUGCUAAUACCGUAUGAGCCCGAGAGGGGAAAGAUUUAUCGCCUUUGGAGGGGCCCGCGUCAGAUUAGGUAGUUGGUGGGGUAAAGGCCUACCAAGCCUACGAUCUGUAGCUGGUCUGAGAGGAUGAUCAGCCACACUGGGACUGAGAUACGGCCCAGACUCCUACGGGAGGCAGCAGUGGGGAAUAUUGGACAAUGGGGGCAACCCUGAUCCAGCAAUGCCGCGUGAGUGAUGAAGGCCUUAGGGUUGUAAAGCUCUUUUGCCAGGGACGAUGAUGACGGUACCUGGAGAAUAAGCCCCGG